rnacentral:rRNA from 1 species
CCCUUAGAUGUUCUGGGCCGCACGCGCGCUACACUGACGAUGGCAACGAGUUUUUCCUUCGCCGAAAGGUGUGGGUAAUCUUUUGAAACAUCGUCGUGCUGGGGAUAGAUCAUUGCAAUUUUUGAUCUUGAACGAGGAAUUCCUAGUAAGCGCGAGUCAUCAGCUCGCGUUGAUUACGUCCCUGCCCUUUGUACACACCGCCCGUCGCUACUACCGAUUGAAUGGUUUAGUGAGGACUCCUGUUUGGCGCCGCCGCCCCGGCAACGGAGCAGCGGACUGCCGAAAAGUUGUUCAAACUUGAUCAUUUAGAGGAAGUAAAAGUCGUAACA